AUAAUGACAACAUCCGAGCGCCCCGGUGCUCGCGCCGCUCGUCCGAACCGUUCCUCUCGGCCCAGCAACUCCGCCCUAAGACCCGUCCAAAUCAUGUCUUCAUUGCCUCGUCAGGCUCGCCUCGCCCUCUCCUCAUUGCCCUUCUCCACGCGCACCCCCGUGGCCCGCCUCCAUGGCCUUCCUAUAAAUGCCCCUCCCGCUCUCUUCCCUCUCAGAACUCAAAUUCCCAAUCUCGACGCGUCCAGCGCACGCAAUCGCCUUCGCUGUCGCCGUUUCUUCUCGAGGCACCUCUCCGUCACCUCGAGGCGCAGGAUGGGAUCGCUCUCCGCGCUGGACGAGCCAUUGCAGUAUCCGCUCGCCCGCAGGGACGAGUCGGUCGUUGAUGAUUACUUUGGCAUUAAGAUAUCGGAUCCUUAUCGCGGGCUUGAAGAUCCUGACAGUGAAGAAACAAAGGAGUUCGUGCAAAACCAGGUGAAAUUGAUGGAGACAGUUUUUAAGAUGUGUGGUCUGAGGGAUAAGCUCAAUGAAAAGAUUACGAAGCUAUUUGAUCAUCCUCGUUAUGACGCACCCUUCAGGCGAGGGAACAAAUAUUUUUAUUUCCAUAAUACGGGGCUCCAAGCGCAAAACGUCCUUUACGUGCAGGAUAGUUUAGAUGCAGAAGCAGAAGUUUUGCUCGAUCCUAAUGCUCUUAGUGAAGAUGGAACAGUCUCUUUGAACACUCUUUCAGUCAGCGAGGAUGCCAAAUACUUGGCUUAUGGACUUAGUUCCAGUGGAAGUGAUUGGGUGACGAUUAAUGUUAUGCGGGUCGAGGAUAAGAAAGUUGAGCCUGAUAAAUUAUCAUGGGUUAAGUUUUCAUCUAUCAGUUGGACCCAUGAUGGCAAAGGUUUUUUCUACGGCCGCUAUCCAGCUCCUAAAGAGGGAGAUAUUGAUGCUGGGACUGAGACCAACUCGAACCUUUAUCAAGAAGUAUACUAUCAUUUUGUUGGCACGGAUCAAUCUGAAGAUGUUUUAUGCUGGAGGGAUCCUGAUAAUCCGAAGUACAUUUGUGGAGCCAGUGUCACAGAUGACGGGAAGUAUGUCCUCUUGUAUAUAGAUGAAGGUUGUGAUCCCGUCAACAAAAUUUACUACUGCGACAUGUCCAGCCUGCUGGAUGGGCUUGAAGGUCUGAAGAAGAGAAAUGAACUACUACCUUUUGUUAAACUUGUAGAUAACUUUGAUGCAAAGUAUGAAGCUGUUGCAAAUGAUGAAACUAUAUUUACAUUCCUGACGAACAAAGACGCCCCCAGGUAUAAAUUAGUCAGGGUGGAUCUGAGGGAACCCAAUAUUUGGACUGAUGUCAUACAAGAAGCUGAGAAGGAUGUGCUGGAAUCGGCUUCCGCAGUCAAUCAUAACCAACUGAUAGUGAGUUAUUUGAGUGAUGUGAAAUACGUGGUGCAGAUAAGGGAUUUAAAAACAGGUUCUUUGCUGCAUCAAUUGCCCAUUGACAUUGGGACAGUUUAUGGUAUAUCUGGCCGGCGUGAAGAUAGUACCAUUUUUAUUGGCUUUACCAGUUUUCUUUCGCCUGGUAUCAUAUAUCAGUGUGAUCUACAGAAUGAGGUUCCAGAUAUGAAGAUCUUCUGUGAAAUUGUAGUUUCUGGAUUUGAUCGUUCAGAGUUCCAUGUCAAUCAGGUUUUUGUGUCUAGUAAGGAUGGCACCAAGAUACCAAUGUUCGUAGUAUCCAGAAAGAAUAUUUCUUUGGAUGGAUCACACCCAUGUUUGUUAUAUGGUUAUGGCGGAUUCAACAUUAGCCUCACGCCAUCCUUUAGUGUCAGCCGAACUGUACUCACAAGACACUUGGGAGCUGUUUUCUGCAUAGCAAACAUUCGUGGUGGUGGCGAGUAUGGAGAGGAAUGGCACAAAGCAGGGUCCUUGGCAAAAAAGCAGAACUGCUUUGAUGAUUUUAUCGCUGCUGCUCAGUACCUCAUUUCUGCAGGUUAUACCCAACCCAAAAAGCUGUGCAUUGAAGGGGGAAGCAACGGGGGACUUCUUAUUGGGGCUUGUAUAAAUCAGAGACCCGAUCUUUUCGGCUGUGCUUUGGCUCAUGUUGGUGUUAUGGACAUGCUGCGAUUUCACAAAUUUACUAUUGGGCAUGCGUGGACUUCUGAUUUUGGUUGUGCGGACAAAGAGGAAGAAUUCCAUUGGUUGAUUAAGUACUCACCGCUCCAUAAUGUGAGGAGGCCAUGGGAACAAGGUCCGGAUCAAUCAGUCCAGUACCCACCUACCAUGCUAUUGACUGCUGAUCACGACGAUCGGGUUGUGCCGCUGCAUUCAUUGAAGUUAUUGGCUAAAUUUGAUAAUCGGCUCCUACUCUCUCCUUUCAGACGAUGCAAUACGUCCUAUGCACAAGCCUCGAGAAAAGCCCCCAAACGAACCCCAUAAUCGGUCGAAUCGAGUGCAAAGCCGGACAUGGAGCUGGGCGUCCUACAAAGAAGAUGAUCGACGAAGCUGCCGAUCGCUAUGGUUUCAUGGCGAAGAUGCUGGAUGCUUCCUGGAUUGAGUAGACUCUAAGGGUGCGUUCAUUUCGUGAAAA